rnacentral:ncRNA from 1 species
GCGAAUCUGAAAAGCGGGCCCCCGAACGGGCCCCACCCACGGUGCAAGCCGCAAGGCGAACCUCUCAGGUGCCGAUGACAGAUGGGGAGGG